rnacentral:rRNA from 1 species
AUUGAACGCUGGCGGCAGGCCUAACACAUGCAAGUCGAGCGGAGCGGCGGACGGGUGAGUAAUGCCUAGGAAUCUGCCUGGUAGUGGGGGAUAACGUCCGGAAACGGGCGCUAAUACCGCAUACUAUCAGAUGAGCCUAGGUCGGAUUCGCUAGUUGGUGGGGUAAAGGCCUACCAAGGCGACGAUCCGUCCAUGGUCUGAGAGGAUGAUCAGGCACACGGGAAAUGAGACACGGUCCAGACGCCUACGGGAGGCAGAAGUGGGGAAUAUUGGACAAUGGGCGAAAGCCUGAUCCAGCCAUGCCGCGUGUGUGAAGAAGGUCUUCGGAUUGUAAAGCACUUUAAGUUGGGAGGCGUUACCAACAGAAUAAGCACCGGCUAACUUCGUGCCAGCAGCCGCGGUAAUAC